GACGAACGCUGGCGGCGUGCUUAACACAUGCAAGUCGAACGGAGAGGCCCUGCUUUUGUGGGGUGCUCGAGUGGCGAACGGGUGAGUAACACGUGAGUAACCUGCCCUUGACUUUGGGAUAACUUCAGGAAACUGGGGCUAAUACCGGAUAGGAGCUCCUGCUGCAUGGUGGGGGUUGGAAAGUUUCGGCGGUUGGGGAUGGACUCGCGGCUUAUCAGCUUGUUGGUGGGGUAGUGGCUUACCAAGGCUUUGACGGGUAGCCGGCCUGAGAGGGUGACCGGCCACAUUGGGACUGAGAUACGGCCCAGACUCCUACGGGAGGCAGCAGUGGGGAAUAUUGCACAAUGGGCGGAAGCCUGAUGCAGCAACGCCGCGUGCGGGAUGACGACCUUCGGGUUGUAAACCGCUUUCGCCUGUGACGAAGCGUGAGUGACGGUAAUGGGUAAAGAAGCACCGGCUAACUACGUG
rnacentral:rRNA from 1 species